rnacentral:lncRNA from 1 species
CUUAGUAAAUGUUUUUUUUUCAACAAUGCGUGGAUAACUCUUGUAACUCCUUAAGGAAAAUUCGGCAAUUAUUUUUAACAGUUCAAAUAGCUUUUAAUUUGUUUAAAUAAUCAGCCUAUUAUUCGUCCUUGGCUCUCAAAACGUUCGGAUCCGAACGUUUCUGAAGAAAAUAAACCAGAAAAAACAUUGAAAAAGCAACAAAGCUUACACAUUAAUUUUAAU